rnacentral:rRNA from 1 species
GACGAAGGGGGCGAACGUUGUUCGGAAUCACUGGGCUUAAAGGGCGCGUAGGCGGCUUAACAAGUCAGGGGUGAAAUUUUGCGGCUUAACCGUAACAGUGCCUUUGAUACUGGUAGGCUUGAGGGAGGUAGGGGUCCUCGGAACUUCUGGUGGAGCGGUGAAAUGCGUUGAUAUCAGGAGGAACGCCGGUGGCGAAAGCGGCGGACUGGAUCUCUUCUGACGCUGAGGCGCGAAAGCUAGGGGAGCAAACGGG